rnacentral:rRNA from 1 species
GACGAACGCUGGCGGCGCGCUUAACACAUGCAAGUCGAACGGGAUCCAUUUGGAGCUUGCUCCGGGGGGAUCUAGUGGCGGACGGGUGAGUAACACGUGAGCAACCUGCCUUUCAGAGGGGGAUAACGUCUGGAAACGGACGCUAAUACCGCAUAACAUCCCGGUAUGGCAUCAUGCUGGGAUCAAAGGAGAAAUCCGCUGGAAGAUGGGCUCGCGCCCGAUUAGGUAGUUGGUGGGGUAAAGGCCUACCAAGCCUGCGAUCGGUAGCCGGACUGAGAGGUUGAUCGGCCACAUUGGGACUGAGACACGGCCCAGACUCCUACGGGAGGCAGCAGUGGGGAAUAUUGCACAAUGGGGGAAACCCUGAUGCAGCGACGCCGCGUGAGUGAAGACGGCCUUCGGGUUGUAAAGCUCUGUUGUGGGGGACGAUAAUGACGGUACCCCACUAGAAAGCCACGGCUAACUACGUGCCAGCAGCCGCCGUAACAC